UACGUAGGGGGCGAGCGUUGUCCGGAUUUAUUGGGCGUAAAGGGCGUGUAGGCGGCCGGGUAAGUCCGAGGUGAAAGACCGCAGCUCAACUGCGGGCAUGCCUCGGAAACUGCGUGGCUGGAGUGCUCUAGAGGGUAGUGGAAUUGCCGGUGUAGCAGUGAAAUGCGUAGAGAUCGGCAGGAACACCAGUGGCGAAGGCGACUGCCUGGGGAGUAACUGACGCUGAGGCGCGAAAGCUGGGGGAGCAAACGGGAUUAGAUACCCCGGUAGUCCCAGCCGUAAACGAUGGGUGCUAGGUGUGGCGGGUAUCGACCCCUGCCGUGCCGGCGCAAACGCAAUAAGCACCCCGCCUGGGGAGUACGGCCGCAAGGUUG
rnacentral:rRNA from 1 species